GCAUUAGCUAGUCGGCGGGGUAACGGCCCACCGAGGCGACGAUGCGUAGGGGUUCUGAGAGGAAGGUCCCCCACACUAGUACUGAGACACGGACCAGACUCCUACGGGAGGCAGCAGUGAGGAAUAUUGGUCAAUGGCCGGGAGGCUGAACCAGCCAAGUCGCGUGAGGGAAGACGGCCCUACGGGUUGUAAACCUCUUUUGUCAGGGAGCAAGAGGCGGGUCGAGACCUGCUGUGAGAGUACCUGAAGAAAAAGCAUCGGCUAACUCCGUGCCAGCAGCCGCGGUAAUACGGAGGAUGCGAGCGUUAUCCGGAUUUAUUGGGUUUAAAGGGUGCGCAGGCGGAGGCACAAGUCAGCGGUAAAAUCGCGGGGCUCAACCCCGCUCCGCCGUUGAAACUGUGUCCCUUGAGUGCGCGAAGGGUAGGCGGAAUGCGUGGUGUAGCGGUGAAAUGCAUAGAUAUCACGCAGAACUCCGAUCGCGAAGGCAGCCUACCGGCGCGCAACUGACGCUCAUGCACGAAAGCGUGGGUAUCGAACAGGAUUAGAUACCCUGGUAGUCCACGCAGUAAACGAUGAAUGCUAUCUGUCCGGCCGGAAUGACGGCUGG
rnacentral:rRNA from 1 species